rnacentral:sRNA from 12 species
ACGUGAGUAAGUCCUUUCCGAAACGAAUGAUGCUACCUUGAGGUAGGUGGGACAAAGUAGGGAAGGGGUCACAU